rnacentral:rRNA from 1 species
CCUACGGGAGGCAGCAGUGAGGAAUAUUGGUCAAUGGACGAGAGUCUGAACCAGCCAAGUCGCGUGAAGGAUGACUGCCCUCUGGGUUGUAAACUUCUUUUAUAAAGGAAUAAAACGAUGCCCGUGGGCCUUUUUGCAUUUACUUUAUGAAUAAGGAUCGGCUAACUCCGGUCCAGCAGCCGCGGUAAUACGGAGGAUCCGAGCGUUAUCCGGAUUUAUUGGGUUGAAAGGGAGCGUAGAUGGGUUGUUAAGUCAGUUGUGAAAGUUUGCGGCUCAACCGUAAAAUUGCAAUUGAUACUGGCAGUCUUGAGUACAGUUGAGGUAGGCGGAAUUCGUGGUGUAGCGGUGAAAUGCUUAGAUAUCACGAAGAACACCGAUUGCGAAGGCAGCUUACUAAACUGUGACUGACAUUGAUGCUCGAAAGUGUGGGUAUCAAACAGGAUUAGAUACCCGGGUAGUC